GAGGAGGUAUCGGGAGGAGGCUGCUCAGAGGAGGCUGCUCAGCAGGGCCGGGAGGCUGCCGUGGAGACAGUGAUAGUUGUGUCAGCUCGCAACUGUGCUCAGAAACACCGACUCAGCACUCGCUUCCCAGCGCAAAGCUCUGCAGGGCCGGGAGGCUCGGGGGCAAGGAGGGAACGGGAGCGGGGAGGCUUCUGGAGGACAAAAGAAAGAAGACACGCAGAGAGACGUGGAGGGAUAGAGGCUGAAAGAGGGAGGAGGUGAGAGAGACAGACAGAGACCUGGAGGGAGAGAUUGGCAGAGAAUGAAACAAAGACCGAGAUGCAGAGAAUCCAGAGUCUGGAGAGGCCGAGCGCCAGGAGAGAGCACGUGGGAGCUUAGGCAGUGUGGGAGACAGAAGGGAGAUGCAGGCCAGGGCCCUGUGCCCUGAUGGAGCGACCCUCCUCGGGGAAGAUUCUUCUUUCAAGGCCUGGGUGAAGACCUCUGCCUCCAGGAAGCCUCCUGUGGCCAGCCAAGCCAUAACUCUUAGACCUCUGGGGAGGUGGUCCCCAUUUGCUGCCAACUCCAGCGCCAGGCUGAUGGCUGCCAGGAGCAAGAUGACAGAAGGACGGGAGAGGCUGCAUCCAGGGAGGCAUGGAACCACCCAGAGGACCGGGCCAUGCGCUGCUCUGGCCUCCUCUGCCCCUGGGGGACCCUCCACUGCUCAGGCCUGGGGGAGCAGCCAGGUAAGGGUGGUCUCUGGCUGGGCGGAGGGUUUGUCAAUGUGUGGGUGCUGGGGUAGCCUGGGUGGCUGGAGUGGGAGAGAAAGGAACUCAGCAUCAGGUUUCUCCUUUCAGCAGACAUGCUGGACGUCCUGGGUUAGGAGAUCAGGCCUGUCACAUGUCACCCUCCACCCUCACCAACAAAACACAUAUACAAAUGGAAAGAGACAGAGAGAGGCUGAGUUAGCUGCUCUCUUGAUCUGUGCUUACCUUUGUGUCUUACUCUUCCUUCUUUGCGUGAUGACUUUUCCCUCCUUCAUUUAAUAACCAUGCACUGGCCCUGCUGGCCGCUCUGUUCUGGGUGCCGGGCAGAGCAAGGUGGGGGAGAUGCCCUUUAGGGAUAUAGACAAGUAGUGAGUGAUGAUACCACAUUUCUCUCCCCUUCACUCUGUCCCUUUGUCUCGCUAGCCCCCCCAAUCCCCAUCUUUUUCUUUUCUUUUCUUUUAUUUCCGCCUUUUCUAGGGCUGCCCCGUGGCACAUGGAGGUUCCCAGGCUAGGGGUCUAAUCAGAGCUGUAGCCGCUGGCCUACACCACAGCCACAGCAACGUGGGAUCUGAGUUGUGUCUGCAACCUACACCACAGCUCACGGCAAUGCUGGAUCCUUAACCCACUGAGCAAGGCCAGGGAUCGAACCUGCAACCUCAUGGUUCCUAGUCAGAUUCGUUAACCACUGCGCCACGACGGGAACUUCAAUCCCCACCUUUUUCUGUCUCUGUCUCUCAAACCAGAGAAGCAAGGCUUUCUUUUCCAAUGAGAGGCAGAACUGCUUACUGGAGGUAGUGGCCUUGAACUCAUCUUAAAUUGCUCACUGUGACUCUCCCCUGGGCCAGUUUCCUAGGGGCAGGGUGGUCUCAGUCCAGGUCCCCAGGCCCUUGAAGAUGAAAAGAAGUCCCUGGUUCAGCCUUUUUUGGAGACAAGGAAAACCGGGGCAUGGAGAGAGGAUGGCGUCCUGCCUGGAGGAGGUGGCGAAGAGAAUUCGGGUCAAACUGCCAAGAGCUUAGGCCUGGCGCAUAUCCUGCCCUAACCUGUAUCUCAGGCCUAACCCCCUAGGCCUCAAGAGCCUAUCACAUCUCUUUCUGAGGUGAACUAGGAGGUGCUGAGACUUGGCUUUUGGCAGACUCUUCCCACCUUAGCCCUUGUCCACUGCCAAGGUCAGUAUGUUGCCACUGUUUGUGCAAAGUUGCUUCAAGUCACAGGCUCUGGCAGGGACAAUAGGCUCCCUCGGCCCAUGGCUGCUGUGUGUUGGGGGGCAAGUGGGAACCUAGGAAGUUUCACAUGGAGCUUUCAAGUGGAUCUAAACUGGGACUCCGAAUUGCAUUGCACCUGCUGGGUGGUGGGCCCAGGAGCAGCCCCAGGCACUAUUUGCAUGAGUUGAUAUGCAGGGUAGAUGCAUAUGUGAAGAAGAAGCUCCAUGCAUGGCUGUGGUGGACAGAGAUGGGG
ensembl:lncRNA